UUGUUGUGUCUCUAGAGUGUUCCAUUUCGAAUCAAUCUUCCACUAUAUUUUACUCACCUCUUCCUCCACACGCAUUGCACAAUUCAAUCUUUCUCUCAUAACUUCAUUCUUUUUUUUCAUCUCUUUCGUUUUUCUUUUCCAGGUCUUUUUAAUUUACGCUCUCAACAUCAUUCGAUCAAUCAAUAAUGUCUCAUAUCCUUUGUCAUUGUUGUUCGUUCGAUUUGAGCUAACGCGGUAAUCAAAGAGAUAAAGAUCGUGAAAGGGCUCAAGCAAGAGCCAAUAACAAAUCUAGGAACCCAAAGAGUGAUGGGUUAACACCUGAACAACGGAGAGAAAGGGAUGCAAAAGCAUUACAAGAGAAAACGGCAAGGAAAGCUGCACAACGUGCUGGAGGGUGUAAUAUGGGUGGUGGUGGUAGUGGAGACAAACAUUAGGAAAUAAUAAUAAAAAUUAUUCUAAUCGAAGGUUUAGUGGGUAAUUAAGCUAGGGAAAAAGUUUGUAAUUGUAUUUGUGUAAUUUGAUUUGAUAUGGGUUUAUGGUUUUUAAGUCAUCUGCUUGUGUCGCUUAUUUAUGAUUUAUGGUGUGUUGGCUUUUCACCUUUUACUUCUAUCUCAUUUGGGUGUAUUUCUAGCAUUUUGUAAUAAUAUUUUUUAUUUUUUUUUAUUC